GAUGAAGAACUUAGCGAAAUGCGAUAAGUAAUGUGAAUUGCAGAAUUCAGUGAAUCAUCGAAUCUUUGAACGCACAUUGCGCCCGCCAGUAUUCUGGCGGGCAUGCCUGUCCGAGCGUCAUUUCAACCCUCGAACCCCUCCGGGGGGUCGGCGUUGGGGAUCGGCCCUGCCUCUUGGCGGUGGCCGUCUCCGAAAUACAGUGGCGGUCUCGCCGCAGCCUCUCCUGCGCAGUAGUUUGCACACUCGCAUCGGGAGCGCGGCGCGUCCACAGCCGUUAAACACCCAACUUCUGAAAUGUUGACCUCGGAUCAGGUAGGAAUACCCGCUGAACUUAAGCAUAUCAAUAAGCGGAGGA
rnacentral:misc_RNA from 1 species